rnacentral:rRNA from 1 species
GACGAACCGUGCGAACGUUGUUCGGAAUCACUGGGCGUAAAGGGCGCGUAGGCGGCCUUGCAAGUCGGUUGGUGAAAGCCCGGGGCUCAACCUCGGAACUGCCUUCGAUACUGCGGGUCUCGAGUCCGGGAGAGGUGAGUGGAAUUCCUAGUGUAGAGGUGAAAUUCGUAGAUAUUAGGAAGAACACCAGUGGCGAAGGCGGCUCACUGGCCCGGUACUGACGCUGAGGCGCGAAAGCGUGGGGAGCAAACAGG